rnacentral:lncRNA from 1 species
GGUUCAUUUCCUGUUUAUUAUUAAAGUGAUUUCCACAAAUGUUUAAUUACAUGCAUAUGUAUGAACAUGAUGGAGAGGACAAACCUUGAAUAUUCGAGGCAACUAAAAGGAAAACAGGAUUGUGUUGGUAUUUGUCGCUCUUGUAGACAGAGUGGUUGCCAAGGUGCCCAGAGAGUACAGCGCCGCCUUCAGAGAACCCAGAGCAGAGACCAGUGGUGGGGGGGUUGGAGGGUCAGGGGGUGGGAUGGCAAGGGCCCAACUCUCUGCUCCCCUCCUCCUUCUCUGGGCCUCCCCCCCCCCCCCCCCCGCCCCUGCAAGUGGUGUUCAGAUAUCCCAUUUCUGCUCAGGCUGUUCAAGGCUCCCAUCUCAGCGAAAUCAGGCAUUUCCUGGGGAUCCGCGUGGCCCCUGAACUGGCAACGUCCUGGGCACCUGUGAGCUUUCGUUUCACCUACUGCUCACCACACUGUCUGCUGAGCCCCCCCACCCUGGAAUUGUCUAGUGUCUGUGCGCUGGAGACUGUGAGAGGAGCCAGCUGGGGGUGCACGCGUCCACCCUGCUGCAGGCUUGGGGGGCCACUCCCCACGCACACCCCACCCCCCACCGCACUCCAGGCUGCAGCUUGCCCCGCAGGCCCGAGUUUGAAUGGACGUGACCUGUCCACGCAGGGCAGAGGGCAGAGGCCAGGCCUCCUCUGGGUCUUUAGCGCUGGUUCCCGAGGGAGGGGUGGGCAGGAGCCCACACGUGCUGCUCCUCCCUCCUCCCUCCUCCCUCCUCCCUCCUCCCUCCUCCCCAGGGCACCAGCCUGCCUGCCCCGAGCUCCAUGGGCCGGGAGCUGCAUUUCCCAAUCCUGAUGUGUCCUACAUAAUGUCCUACCUCGGGUUUUCUUCCCAGCACCGCCAGCAACUGGCCCUGGGCACGUCCCUGGGCCCUGGAGUCUCACCCUCCACACUCGAGAGGCAUCAGGCUCCACUCACCUCGCGGGGCCGUGAGAAUGGCUUGUUCAGAUGCUUGAGGGCUGGCACCGGGGUCCCCCAGAGCCUGGGGGCCUCAGGCUCGAGGCCUACCACGUCCAGGGGCUGCGGAGGCUCCUGCUCCCUGGGGCCUCCUGAGUGGGGUGCUGGGAGGGAACCUGGGGCCAUGCCUGAGGCGCCUGGGCCUGGGGUCACCUGCCCCCUCCCGACACCAUCUCCAAAAAGCAAGGCAGCCUCCGGCUCCAGCCACCCCCGUGUCUGGCAUACAGCAGGCGCUCAGCACUAGCGCCUCCAGAGGCAGCUGCGGGAGGCCGGGAGCUGUCUGCUCGGCCUCUGCGCGGACGCUGGGGGGCUCGCAAAUGUUGGUCCUUUGGCCUGAAUGAUGCUGGCUUGGUGCUGUCACCCUGGUCAGAGGGGCUGAGCCGCCACCACAUGUAUCUUUGGUGAAGAAGAUGCCUCCCUCCAUGGGGAUGCAGUUGACCAGGGUGACUACAUUUCCAGGCGUCCAGUAGAGGACAUAGGCUCAGCCGGGGUCUCUGGGGCACAAGAAAGGCCCCCCCUCUGGAGCACGGAGUGUUCUGGGCGGGUCCUGGCGCUGUGUCCUGGUGCUGGGUCCCGGGCAGGGCGGCUGAGCCCUUCUCUGUGUCUCUUUCUUUCUCUGCUGGUGGAGGGAGGUGGUCACGUCCUGGGCCUGGGCUGGUGGCAGCUUCUCCUGCAGGACACGGGCUUUGGGACCCCUUCGGUGACCCCUGCUCUCUCUGUCCCCACCCGGGCUGCUGGCGGGCGCUGGAGGGCAGGGCUGCCUUCUGAGGAGCACCGGGCUCUGUCCCCCGGGCCAGCCUCCAUCACCUUCAUCCCUGUGACCAAGGGGGCUUUCCCGGGGACUCCGUCAGCCCCAAGGCCGCGUGGUCUCUCCUCCCGUCCAGGAGCCUGGCACACAGGGAGUUUGGUGGGGACCCAACUUAGUUCAGGAUCUUAUUUUCCUGCUGAGAGCGGUGGGUGGGUGGAGGUGUUUGAAUGAUGACUCAACCCCCCAAAUGUCACUUAGGCGCUCGCUCUCGCUCCAGCGCACACUGGGGCCUCUUGUCCUGGAAACUGGAUGAUGUUGGCCGUGUCCCUGGGGAAACGACGGCGCAGGCAGGAAACAUGGGGCUGAAGAGGUUGAAGGAAAGAAGUUCUCUUAGGGCUCUCAGAAUCGGGCUCUUGGGGCCACUGCUCUCUGGUGACUUUUUGGCCUGGGUUACGGUUCUGCGUCAUCUACGUGUCCCAAACCAACGCACGGCAGGAGGGAAGGCUGUCUGAGGCCGCCACCUUGGUCCCACGGCCUCCUCGGUUCUGUCUCCACGGAGGUGAGGAAGGGCCGGCACACGCCGUCCCCGGGGAGCCAGAGCUGGGCAGAGCGCGGUCACCACCACUGGCAAGGCCACCUGUUGGGGUGAGCGGCGGAGGCAGAGUCUGAGACUCUGGAGAGCCCAGGGAGUGAGAGAGAGCACAACUGCACAGCUGCCAGGCUCCGGCUCAGGCAAGAGUGUCGCCAGGGAAAAAUAAGCCUGAUUCGGGGCGGCAGGUAAGCUGACCCCAGCGCUCACUCCCUGAGGGCCCAGCUUGGCCUCUGGACCUUGCAGCCAGAUUCUCUUCUUUUCUUUGGUGCGCAUCCACGGAAGCAGAGAGCCAGCAGCUGCCAGGGGCGCGGGGCACCUCGGUCUUCCACCGCCAUCCUCGGAGGCCUCCCCCGUCGCCCCAGUGCCAUCCAUGCCUCGCUGGGAGCACAGCCAAGCUCCUCAGGACUUCUGAGCCUUGGCACCUUUCAGUCCUGGCCAACUGGGCAAGGCUUUGUGUCCAGAAGCUUGUUCCUUCGCUCUUUCCUUGGAGUUCAUUGACCGGCCAGCUGCUGAGGGUCCAUGCCAGGCGAGUGUGGCAGUGGCUGGGAUGGGGCUGUGGCUGUGGCUGCUCAAGGCCAAUACCCCAUCCACGAGUGGGGUGGGCCCCUCUGGCUCGGCCCCUCUGCAUCUCGAGCCUCUCUUGGGGAGCAUGGGACAUCCACAUCCUUGUCCUGGGCUUCUGUUCUUCAGGACUCCUUCUGGGGACCUGCCCUGUCUGGGCCCAGUCCUUUCUACUUCCAUCGGCUCCACGGGCACCCAUCUGCCACCAGAUUCCGCGACAUGGAAACAGGGACAAACGUACUUGGUUGUCCAGGGAGCUCUCCCAAGGCCACUGGGCUCCCAUGACUGGGGGCAGCUGUGGCUUUAACACAUGGGACUCUUAAAUUUCCCAGUGUGGGGCUCAGGGAUGACCUAGAAAUUAGGGACAGACCCCAUUCCCGAACUUGGAGCACCCCUCAUGGUGUGGGAGGUGGUUUAACAGGGUGGGGGGAGGAGGGCUGAAUGGUGAUGGUGUUGGCAGCUGGCAAACUGGGGUUGUACUUGUGAAGAGCGAGGGGCCCCACGUCUGUCCUGCUCUGUUGGGGGAACACCGGGCAGGUAUGGCCACAGCAGUGUGGAGAGCCACGGGACGUGGGUGGGCUCCCACUGGAAGGGCCGGUGGGUUAGUGGGGUUUGUGGGUGGCAACUGCCAGAAACCACCCAGAGGGGCAGCAGUAAGUGUCCGAGAAGGGUUAGAAUGCUUCCCUCUCUGUUCCCCGCCCCCAUGGUGUUGCUGGAGGCUGGAGGCCCACUUGAGAGGACACUCGUCUAAUUACUGGGGACGAGCUCGGGAGGGAAGACAGGCAUCUUUCUGUAGGCCCGGCUGGCCCUGA